GACGAACGCUGACGGCGUGCUUAACCCAUGCAAGUCGAAGGGAGUGGCGAACGGGUGAGUAACACGUGCGUAACCUGCCAUUUUCUUUGGGAUAAGCCUGGGAAACUGGGUCUAAUACUGGAUGGAUUGGGAUGGGCUCGCGGCUUAUCAGUUUGUUGGUUGGGUGAUGGCUUACCAAGGCUUUGACGGGUAGCCGGCCUGAGAGGGUGGGCGGUCACACUGGGACUGAGAUACGGGCCAGAAUACUACGUGAGGCAGCAGUGUGGGAUAUGGCACAAUGGACGAAAGUCUGAUGCAGCGACGUCGUGUAUGAAGAAGGCCUUCGGGUUGUAAAGUACUUUCAGCGGGGAGGCAUUACCCGCAGAAGAAGCACCGGCUAACUCCGUGCCAGCAGCCGCGGUAAUAC
rnacentral:rRNA from 1 species